rnacentral:rRNA from 1 species
CUUGUUCCCUAAAUAGGGACUAGUAUGAACGGCAUCACGAGGGUUACUCUGUCUCCCCCUUUUAAUCAAUGAAACUGAUCUCCCCGUGAAGAAGCGAGGAUACCAAUAUAAGACGAGAAGACCCCAUGGAGCUUUAAACUCAGGAACACCCGCCACGCAGUAACCAAAUUAACCAAGCCUUUCUGUUUCCUAGUUUUCGGUUGGGGUGACCACGGAGCACAACACAACCUCCAUGAUGAACGGAACUACCAAAUUCCUUACUCAAGAACUACAGUUCGAAAAACCAAUACAUUGACAUAAUUGAUCCAAAUUAUUUUGAUCAACGAACCAAGUUACCCUGGGGAUAACAGCGCAAUCCAUUUCAAGAGCCCGUAUCGACAAAUGGGUUUACGACCUCGAUGUUGGAUCAGGGUAUCCUAGUGGUGCAGCCGCUACUAAAGGUUCGUUUGUUCAACGAUUAAAACCCU